rnacentral:tRNA from 2 species
GCUUUGUGUAAGCUACAGGAACAUUGGU